UACGUAGGGGGGCUAGCGUUGUCCGGAUUUAUUGGGCGUAAAGAGCGUGUAGGCGGCCAGGUAGGUCUGCUGUGAAAACUCGAGGCUCAACCUCGAGACGUCGGCGGAAACCAUCUGGCUAGAGUCCGGAAGAGGAGAGUGGAAUUCCUGGUGUAGCGGUGAAAUGCGCAGAUAUCAGGAAGAACACCCGUGGCGAAGGCGGCUCUCUGGGACGGUACUGACGCUGAGGAGCGAAAGCCAGGGGAGCAAACGGG
rnacentral:rRNA from 1 species